UCGCCCUUAAGUUUGAUCCUGGCUCAUAACGAACGCUGGCGGCAGGCUUAACACAUGCAAGUCGAACGAUAAAGCACCUUCGGGUGCGAGUAUAGUGGCGAACGGGUUAGUAACGCGUGGGAACAUACACAGCACUGGGGGAUAACCAUUGGAAACGAUGGCUAAUACCGCCCACGCCCUACGGGGGAAAGAUUUAUUGGUGUUGGAUUGGCCCGCGUUAUAUUAGUUUGUUGGUGAGGUAAUGGCUCACCAAGGCUACUAUCUAUAGCUGGUUUGAUAGGAUGAUCACCAACACUGGAACUGAAACACGGUCCAUACUCCUACGGGAGGCAGCAGUGGGGAAUAUUGCACAAUGGGGGAAACCCUGAUGCAGCCAUGCCGCGUGAGUGAAGAAGGCCUUAGGGUUGUAAAGCUCUUUCAGAUGUGAGGAUGAUGACUAUAACAUCACAAGAAGCUCCGGCUAACUUCAUGCCAGCACCCGCGGUA
rnacentral:rRNA from 1 species